CGACUUUCCAUUAUGGCGUCCCCUCCCGAGUUGUGUAACGGAUUCUGAGCGGGAAAACGCGAGUUUUUCGCGAAAAACGCAGGAAUCUCAUGCACCACGGAGCGAGAAACGGCCGUUCGCCGCGUUCACGGGACCAGCGAUCGUCGAUUAACAUCAUACUCCAAGGUGAUACGCACUCGGACCUCGAGUAAGGUAGCGUCGAGAAUUACUUGUGCGAUUGAGACCUUUCAAGCGAGAUGAGAGAGAUGCCAUCAGCGACGUGCGCGCGCGUCAAAGCAUACAUACCAGAUGAAUUCGCGGCAGUGCGAGCAGAAGGUCGGUUGCCUCAGGAAGGUAGCCAUGAAUUUGUGCCCGUUCACUUGAUGAACCCUCCGUCGCAUCGCAUCUCGUCGGCGGUUGAAGCCCUGCCUCUCCUUGAAUUCCCGCCGUGGUUCUUUACUGGUGGUGAUAUUGCCGAUGCCCCUGCCACCGAUAGCCUCGCCAUCGCCGCCUGUGCCGCAACUUGUCUGUCGAUCUGUAAUGUCGAAUUUAAACGAUGAAGCACAGAACCGCUUGACGAUAUGUUUGGUUCCAGAUCAACCUGCAAGAGUUCAUAUUGUCAACAAUCGAAUAAUAAAGACGAGAAGGGUACAAUUAGUUAUGCAAGCAUGAACCAACUCACAAAACUGACUUUUCAAUUUUUGCUAUCAAGGGAUAGUCCAUGAGUUUUUUUACAUAAAAGAUCCAAGCCUUAUUAAAUUUAAUUAAAAAACAGUUUUUAUUUUCUUCAGUUUUAGUUGCAUCUUCUUUUCCAAAAUUUUUAAGGUUGUCAAUGAAUACCCUUAAAGAGAAAAAAAUUGUCCGAUUUCUUGAGCGAUUGUGGGAAACCACAGUGCUACCUAUACAUUUCAUAUCGUGUAUUAAAUUUGCAUUUUCAUCUUUCUCAAAAUGUACUUUAUAUGAGUUGAAUUAUUCUUGCUACUAACUACAGUCAAUCGAUGUCACCACUAAUAAGAUAGAGUGGAUUCCAAAGUGCACUGACAGUAAUGACAGUAUUGAAAGACUACACAUGAAUAAGUGAUAACACACAGAACUGCAAAGAUAUUUCAGAUAACCAUGUACGGUGUAAGUCACUGAAUAACAUUCGAUUCUAAGAUAUCUCUGUUGUCUCUUAUACUCAAAGAAAAUGUAUAAGGAAUCAUGGUUUCAAGGGAUAAACAUUGUGGUCAGCCAGCUCUUACAACCAUAAUAAUUUGUUCCUUACACAUUCUCCUUUAACACAUAGAAAUAUUUAGAACAACAGAAAUAUUUUAGAAUCUAACGUUAAGUCUGUUCGUCUUUAAAGAACUUCUCAACUGAUACAAUAAGCUAGAAUGAAACAAAUAUUCUUUCCUUCACUCCAACUUAUUGCAGUAAUCUGUACUAGUUGAGAAGUUCCUCAAACAGACUAAUUGUUAGGUGACUCACUCAGCGCACAGACAUUGUUAGACUUUGCAAUAGAUUACAGAGUGACACAUAAUUCACCGGUGAGAGCAAACAAACCCACCCAAAAAUCGGUGGUC